UCCUUACCACACCUUGCUAGAAGAGGUCAUCCUUUCAAUCAUCAGACAACUGUAUAGCAAUAAGUACACAGAAGGAUUCAUGCCUUAUCUUUUCAGUGUUCCACCUGAUAAUUUUUUAUGGUGUCUUUGUUCUUGCUUCAAGUCAAGUGUCACAAGAUUUCUUUUUUCUUCCUUUUUAAAAAUAAUGAUGCCACUCAUUCAGUUCUGAAGAACUUUAAAAAAACAACACAAUGAUGAAUAGAACUAUGAAGAGACAGGCACGAAUCUUCCUGUGUACCCUUUGCUUUCAGAUUGCCUGAUGACUGAAGAUACAAUCUCUUCUAACAAGGUGUGGCAAGGA